AAUCAAGCAAGGAGAUUUAGCAAGGCCAAGAGGAAGCUUAGUUGAUUGAUAAGUUGUAUGCUACGAGAUUCAGGCUGGCAUGUAGUUAUGCCCAGUAAUUUUUCAUGUGACUACAAAGUCGCAGACAAAGUCGUCAUUACUUCUUCGUACGCUUGUUUGAUAAGCUCAGUAGAAAAAGCACAGACAGAGGAGAUAUUGGCCGAAUCGUCCGACGCAGAGCAGCAGAGUACUGGUAGCAUUUCUGAGCGAACCGACAUCCUGCAAUGGAGCCUCUGACACGAGGUAAGAAAAUUUCAAACUUUGGUACCGCUCACCUCGAUUGAGGCAGAGGGGAAGAGCUGAAGCAGCGGUAACAACGAGCAAAGCCGCCAUCCUCCUCAAUCGUCCUUUUGAAAGCUACAUGGGACCCUACAGCCAUAACUUUGUCCUGCUACUCACUCGACUCUUGCUUGUAGCUAUGCGACUGCCUUGCU
rnacentral:lncRNA from 1 species